CACGCAAUCAUCAUAGGGAUCCUUGCAGGCUCUCUUUCCCCAGAGAGCCUGCUCGCAGGCUAGCAACAACCAGAAUAACUACUCAUCCACCUGUUUCAAAAAUGGCUGGUAAAAGUUAACCCUGUUACCCUGGUUUAGAUGCUAAAUUUGUCCCUCAAAAUUUUCUCCCACUUGUUGCCAAGGCUAUGCCUGUACUUCAUGCUGGUCAAAAAGACAAUCUGAUUUAUCACACUGCUCGAUGCUUUGGAAAACAACGCCAUGGAGAUGUUGGUCUGAUGUCAUUGGAUAGAAUUCCCUUUAUAGGAGUGAAGGCCCACUUGGCCUUUUUUUAACAGUAUUUUGUAAUGAUGUUACACAACUAAUUCAGAUAAAGUUUGAGAAAUGGUGGUUGUUUCAAUGAUAAGCCCCAGAGAGGGGGGUGGGGUCGGGCAUAUGUGGGCAUUUGAUUUUUUGAGCAAAUUUUCAAUCAAAUGCCCCACUGUUAGGUAAUAAGUAUUGGUCAAACACCCCACCAUUUUGCAAUAAAUUGCAAUAAAUACUAUAUUAAUAAAAGUCAUUUUGGUUCAAAUUGCCCAAACUCAGGCCCAAAAUGCUAAAUAAAUCAAAAUCCCCAGAGUGGGGAUGCAAUUGAUGAUCAAAUACCCCACAUAUGCCCACCCCCCUCUGGGGCUUGACAUUGAUAGGUGCAAUUAUAUGCAGGGUUUUUUUGUAUUCUCAUGUAAUGUACCACAAAGUAUCAGCAGCAUGUUAUUGUGGGACCUUUGAUCAAUAUGUAUAUAAAUACUCAUUAGACAUAUUUUUGUUUUAUUGUUGCAUUAAUUUUAAUGAAAAAUAAAUAUUACUCACAAAGUUGGUCAAGUGAAUGUACAAACUAUUUAUUUCUUCAUUUAGUACAGCACAUGUUACAAUUAUGUACUUGUCUUAAUUGCAUGAGUGUGCAUGACAGACUUUUUUUAUUUUAAUUGUGCACACCCACUUAUGAUUAACCUAGUUUUUGUUUAUGAAAAUCUAAAAAGUUACCUAAUUGAAAUAAGAUCAUUUCUACAACUUGCCAAACCUAGUCAGUUACAAUUAUAUCACAAACAUCUGUCAACGUACACUCAUGCUCUCCCUUACCACUUCAGUCUCCAACUC